rnacentral:tRNA from 1 species
GCCAGAGUAGCUCAGCUGGUAGAGCUGCUGAUUUGUAAUCAGCCGGUCGGGGGUUCGAGUCCCUUCUCUGGCUCAA